rnacentral:rRNA from 1 species
UUAUUAAGGUUUUAUUGUUUUUAAUUAUUUUAUUAAAAAUAAUUUUUUUUUUUAUUCUUGUUAAAGUAAAUUCUAUUGAAUUUUAAUAUAUUAAUAUUUUUAACUGAAAAGGUAUAAUUAAGGAAUUAAGUAAGAAUAAAAAUUUUUGUACUUUUUGUAUCAAGGUUUAUAUAAAAAUUAUUUUAUAAAUUUGUCUCGAAUAAGAAGGAUUUAUUUUGUUAUUAGUUUCUUUGUUACAUAAAUGUUUAAAAUAACAAUAUGGAAUUGAAAAAUUAUUCGUUUUCUUAGGUAUCUAGUUUUUUUAAAAAAUAAUUUAAUUAUUUUGUUAUCAAUAUUUUUUUUAUUUAGUAAUUAAUUUUUUUAACAGUUAAAUUAUGGAGGGAUUAGCUUUUAUAAUUUUUAUAAUAAAUAUAUUUAAGAUAUUUUUUUAGAUUUAGGAUUUAUAUUAAUUUAUAGUUUUUUAAAAAAAAAUAUUUAUAAUUUUAAUUUAUUGAUGUUUAAUGAUUAAAUAAAGACUUGAAUUUUAAUUUUAAAAAUUAAAUUGAUUAUUAUAGAAUUAGUAAAAUUUUAUAUUUGAAUAUUAAAACUUGGCAAAUUCUUUUUUACCUGUUUAUCAAAAACAUGUCUUAUUGAAAAUAUUUUUAAGUCUAAUCUGCCCAUUGAUAUUUAAAAGGCCGCAGUAUUAUGACUGUGCAAAGGUAGCAUAAUCAAUAGUUUUUUAAUUGGAGACUGGAAUGAAUGAUUGAAUAAGAAAAGAACUUUUUUUAUUUUAGAAUUUGAAUUUUAAUUUUAAGUGAAAAUGCUUAAAUUUUAAUAAGGGACGAGAAGACCCUAAAAUUUUUAUUAUUUGUGAAGAAUUUAAUUUAAGAAAUUUUUUAAGAUUUUUUAUUAAUAAUUUAAUUGGGGUGAUUUUUUAAUAUGAAUAACUUAUUUAUUGCUAAAACUUUUUUAAAAAAAUUUUUUGAUCCAUAAUUUAUGAUUUUUAGUUUAAAUUACUUUAGGGAUAACAGCGUAAUUUUAUUUUGAAGUUCUUAUUUAUAAUAAAGUUUGCGACCUCGAUGUUGAAUUAAAAAUUUUUGUAGGGGUAGAUUUUUACAAAGAUAGUCUGUUCGACUAUUAAAUUUUUACAUGAUUUGAGUUCAGACCGGCGUGAGCCAGGUCAGUUUCUAUCUUUAUUUUUUUUUAAUUUUUUAGUACGAAAGGACCAUUAAUUAUAAAUAAUUUAUUUUUAUUUUGAAUUA